CGAAUGAUGCGCAUCGCUUAUAUACCGGUUAAAUUUGAUGACUGUGUGUGAAAUACUCGUACUUUUUACAGGGAAUUCCAUAUUUCGCGUUAAAAUUGCGAUUGCUCUUAGUAGACAUAUGGUACUGGGUACUACCAGUUUUAUCAGAAUCAAUGAAUGUACUUACGUUAGUUGAAGUUCAUACGAUGUUUCAUGAAUCUGUGUUAUCUCUAAUCCGCGAAAUUAAACGGGUGGCGCUUGCGAGAAAUUUGAAAUUUCAAAAACCACAUUUCGCGAGAUCGACGAUAUAGGACCAUUCUUAUCGGAAAUUAUGAAGUAAUCUUUCCACAUAUAUUUACAUUUACUAAUAAUAUGAGUCGAGGUUUUUUUGUAAUUAAAAACAGGAAAAUAUUCGUAAGAAACAUUAAAGUACAUCUGUGAAUUUUUUGUGAGAAUUUCUAGGUACUCGUAAUUAUUAAAUGAGCUGAAAAUACUCGUAGCUGGUAUCAUGUACUUAGUUUGAAGUGAGUGGUUAUUUUCUAUAAACCAAUGUAUGACUUCAUUACUUUAUGUAUUAUUCAAUUUUUUCAAAGUACAUAUAAAAUAGCUACCUAUCUCUUAAGUAAAUAAAAUAACUUUUGAAAUUGUUUUUUCAGAAUUUUAAAAUCUUUU